GCACCAUUAGCUCAGUUGGUAGAGCACCUGACUCUUAAUCAGGGUGUCUGCGGUUCGAGCCCGCAAUGGUGUACCA
rnacentral:tRNA from 1 species